UACGGAGGGUGCGAGCGUUGUUCGGAAUCACUGGGCGUAAAGGGCGUGUAGGCGGUCCGCUAAGUCUGAUGUGAAAGCCCGGGGCUCACCCCCGGAAGUGCAUUGGAAACUGGCGGACUCGAGUCCCGGAGAGGAGGGUGGAAUUCCUGGUGUAGCGGUGAAAUGCGUAGAUAUCAGGAGGAACAUCGGUGGCGAAGGCGGCCCUUUGGAUGGUGACUGACGCUGAGACGCGAAAGCGUGGGGAGCAAACAGG
rnacentral:rRNA from 1 species